UACGGAGGUGGCAAGCGUUGCUCGGAAUCACUGGGCGUAAAGGGCGCGUAGGCGGGGAGGUAAGUCGGGUGUGAAAUCCCUCGGCCCAACCGAGGAACUGCGCCCGAGACUGCUUCUCUUGAGUCCCGGAGAGGAAGAUGGAAUUCCCGGUGUAGCGGUGAAAUGUGUAGAGAUCGGGAGGAACACCGGUGGCGAAGGCGGUCUUCUGGACAGUUCCUGACGCUGAGGCACGAAGGUCAGGGGAGCAAACGGG
rnacentral:rRNA from 1 species